rfam:Shinella sp. DD12 SHLA_46c, whole genome shotgun sequence.
CGGCUGGGACGACCCGGCCGCGACGACACGAUCGGGGACGGCCCC